rnacentral:rRNA from 1 species
GUGGGGAAUUUUGGACAAUGGGGGCAACCCUGAUCCAGCAAUGCCGCGUGCAGGAAGAAGGCCUUCGGGUUGUAAACUGCUUUUGUACGGAACGAAAAGGCUCUGGUUAAUACCUGGGGCACAUGACGGUACCGUAAGAAUAAGCACCGGCUAACUACGUGCCAGCAGCCGCGGUAAUACGUAGGGUGCAAGCGUUAAUCGGAAUUACUGGGCGUAAAGCGUGCGCAGGCGGUGCUGUAAGACAGGCGUGAAAUCCCCGGGCUUAACCUGGGAAUGGCGCUUGUGACUGCAGUGCUGGAGUGUGGCAGAGGGGGAUGGAAUUCCGCGUGUAGUAGUGAAAUGCGUAGAUAUGCGGAGGAACACCGAUGGCGAAGGCAAUCCCCUGGGCCUGCACUGACGCUCAUGCACGAAAGCGUGGGGAGCAAACAGGAUUAGAUACCCGUGUAGUCC